UACAGAGGUCUCAAGCGUUGUUCGGAUUCAUUGGGCGUAAAGGGUGCGUAGGCGGCGCGGUAAGUCGGGUGUGAAAUUUCGAGGCUUAACUUCGAAACUGCAUUCGAUACUGCCGUGCUUGAGGACUGGAGAGGAGACUGGAAUUUACGGUGUAGCGGUGAAAUGCGUAGAUAUCGUAAGGAAGACCAGUGGCGAAGGCGGGUCUCUGGACAGUUCCUGACACUGAGGCACGAAGGCCAGGGGAGCAAACGGG
rnacentral:rRNA from 1 species